rnacentral:rRNA from 1 species
CCUACGGGUGGCAGCAGUGGGGAAUUUUGGACAAUGGGCGCAAGCCUGAUCCAGCCAUGCCGCGUGCGGGAAGAAGGCCUUCGGGUUGUAAACCGCUUUCAGCCGGAAAGAAAUCGCCAUUCCUAAUACGAGUGGUGGAUGACGGUACCGGAAGAAGAAGCACCGGCUAACUACGUGCCAGCAGCCGCGGUAAUACGUAGGGUGCGAGCGUUAAUCGGAAUUACUGGGCGUAAAGCGUGCGCAGGCGGUUUCUCAAGCCAGAUGUGAAAUCCCCGGGCUUAACCUGGGAACUGCAUUUGGAACUGGGAGACUAGAGUGUGUCAGAGGGGGGUGGAAUUCCACGUGUAGCAGUGAAAUGCGUAGAGAUGUGGAGGAACACCGAUGGCGAAGGCAGCCCCCUGGGAUAACACUGACGCUCAUGCACGAAAGCGUGGGGAGCAAACAGGAUUAGAUACCCUGGUAGUCAG